rnacentral:rRNA from 1 species
CCUACGGGUGGCAGCAGUGGGGAAUUUUGGACAAUGGGCGCAAGCCUGAUCCAGCUAUUCCGCGUGUGGGAAGACGGCCUUCGGGUUGUAAACCACUUUUGUAGAGAACGAAAAGUCUAUUGAUAAUACCGAUAGAUGAUGACGGUACUCUCAGAAUAAGCACCGGCUAACUACGUGCCAGCAGCCGCGGUAAUACGUAGGGUGCGAGCGUUAAUCGGAAUUACUGGGCGUAAAGGGUGUGCAGGCGGUUUUGCAAGAUGGAUGUGAAAGCCCCGGGCUUAACCUGGGAAAGCCAUACGUGACUGCGAGACUAGAGUGCGGCAGAGGGGGGUGGAAUUCCAAGUGUAGCAGUGAAAUGCGUAGAUAUGUGGAAGAACACCGAUGGCGAAGGCAGCCCCCUGGGACGCAACUGACGCUCAUACACGAAAGCGUGGGGAGCAAACAGGAUUAGAUACCCGGGUAGUC